GACGAACGCUGGCGGCGUGCUUAACACAUGCAAGUCGAACGGAAAGGCCCUGCUUUUGUGGGGUGCUCGAGUGGCGAACGGGUGAGUAACACGUGAGUAACCUGCCCUUGACUUUGGGAUAACUUCAGGAAACUGGGGCUAAUACCGGAUAGGAGCUCCUGCUGCAUGGUGGGGGUUGGAAAGUUUCGGCGGUUGGGGAUGGACUCGCGGCUUAUCAGCUUGUUGGUGGGGUAGUGGCUUACCAAGGCUUUGACGGGUAGCCGGCCUGAGAGGGUGACCGGCCACAGUGGGACUGAGAGACGCCCCAGACGGCUACGGGAGGCAGCAGGGGGAAAUAUGGCACAAUGGGCGGGAGCCUGAGGCAGCAACGCCGCGUGCGGAAUGCCGGCCUUCGGGUUGUAAACCGCUUUCGCCUGUGACGAAGCGUGAGUGACGGUAAUGGGUAAAGAAGCACCGGCUAACUACGUG
rnacentral:rRNA from 1 species